CCCUUAGAUGUUCUGGGCCGCACGCGUGCUACACUGAGUAAAUCAAUGGGUAAGGGAACACGAAAGUGCAACCUAAUCUUGAAAUUUGCUCGUGAUGGGGAUCGACGGUUGCAAUUUUCCGUCGUGAACGAGGAAUACCUUGUAGGCGCGUGUCAUCAUCACGCGCCGAAUACGUCCCUGCCCUUUGUACACACCGCCCGUCGCUCCUACCGAUUGAGUGAUCCGGUGAGGCUCUGGGACCUGGACGGAAAGAGCGUUUCGCUUGUUCUGUUUGGGAAACUUGGUCGAACCUUAUCACUUAGAGGAAGGAGAAGUCGUAACA
rnacentral:rRNA from 1 species